rnacentral:rRNA from 1 species
CCUACGGGAGGCAGCAGUCGAGAAUCAUUCACAAUGGGGGAAACCCUGAUGGUGCGACGCCGCGUGGGGGAAUGAAGGUCUUCGGAUUGUAAACCCCUGUCAUGUGGGAGCAAAUUAAAAAGAUAGUACCACAAGAGGAAGAGACGGCUAACUCUGUGCCAGCAGCCGCGGUAAUACAGAGGUCUCAAGCGUUGUUCGGAAGCACUGGGGGUAAAGGGUGCGUAGGCUGUUUCGUAAGUCGUGUGUGAAAGGCGCGGGCUCAACCCGCGGACGGCACGUGAUACUGCGAGACUAGAGUAAUGGAGGGGGAACCGGAAUUCUCGGUGUAGCAGUGAAAUGCGUAGAUAUCGAGAGGAACACUCGUGGCGAAGGCGGGUUCCUGGACAUUAACUGACGCUGAGGCACGAAGGCCAGGGGAGCGAAAGGGAUUAGAUACCCCGGUAGUC